rnacentral:rRNA from 1 species
GACGACGCUGGCGGCGUGCCUAACACAUGCAAGUCGAACGGGCAUAGAUCAGUAGCAAUACGGAUCUAUGUUAGUGGCGGACGGGUGAGUAACGCGUGAGCAAUCUGCCCUCAGGUGGGGGAUAACAGUUGGAAACAGCUGCUAAUACCGCAUAAGCCUAAGGGUUAAAGAAGUAAUUCGGGAAUGGAGAGACUCGCGUCCUAUCAGCUAGUAGGUGAGAUAAGAGCUCACCUAGGCUAAGACGGGUAACCGGACUGAGAGGUCGAACGGUCACACUGGAACUGAGACACGGUCCAGACUCCUACGGGAGGCAGCAGUGGGGAAUUUUGGGCAAUGGGGGGAACCCUGACCCAGCGACGCCGCGUGAGUGAAGAAAUUCCUCGGAAUGUAAAGCUCUGUUGUAUGGGAAGAUAAUGACGGUACCAUACGAGGAAGCCCCGGCAAACUACGUG